rnacentral:lncRNA from 13 species
UGUCACUCUGUGUUCUCUUAGGUCCUGUUGAGGUUUUACAGGACCUCGUCCUAGAAGACAUAGAGGACGAAGAGAUGCCCCCUGCUGUGGUAAGAUGCAUUUCUUAGUCUCGAAGAGAAAUAUUUCUUCCUGGGGCCUCUGGAAUAUCAAGUGAAUAUCAUUUUUGACUGCCAUUGUGAUGAGACCUCAGUUGUCAUGGACUCUAGCGAGCAGUCAGUGGAGUUUCUGACCAAAUGAGGCCUGAUUGACGAUGUCAGUCAAAAGAUGGCAUAACUCACAAUCUGGUUGUGGGCAUAUUUCUCAGUAGCAACAUUUUCUUCUUGAAAAGUAAUUUUGUAUUUUUCAGCCAGCAUAGAUACUUGCUAAAUAUUCCAAAACCACUGCAUUUUUUUGCAAGCAUCUCCUGUGCUGCAUUAGGGGCAUGUGGCUUCAUCACUGUUUGACAUCUGUUUUUUUUUUGUUUAGCUUAGUUUUGUUUUUGAGACAGUCUCUCUGUCACCAGGGUCCAGUGCAGUGGUGUGAUCUCAGAUCACUGCAGCGUCCUCCUACUGCAUUCAAGCAAUUCUCCUGCCUGAAACUCUUGAGUAGCUGGACGAAAGUCUCUGACCACCACCACACCCACCUUUUUUGUAGGUUUAAGUAGAGCCGGGGUCACCAUGUUGGCCAGGUGUGUCUCAAUCUCUUGCCCUCAUGACCUGCCUGCUCAGCCUCUGAAUGUGCUGGGAUUACAUGUGUGAGGCACCGUUUUCAGCCUGCUGUCUGGUUUUCUUAUGUCACCAAGCGAAUACAAGACCUGUGCCAACAGGACCCAGCAUGAUGUCAUCCUCAUGGUGUCUCUUUUUGUCUUAUUGCAGGAGAAGCCUGCGGCCAAGUAUCACCACCGUCCUGUUGAGGUUUUACAGGACCUCGUCCUAGAAGACAUAGAGGACGAUGAGAUGCCCCCUGAUGUGGAGAAGCCUGUGGCCCAGUAUCACCACCGUCCUGUUGAGGUCUUACAGGACCUCAUCCUAGAAGACAUAGAGGACUAUUAGAUGCCCCCUGAUGUGGUAAGAUGCAUUUCUUUGUCUCGAAGAGAAAUAUUUCUUCCUGGGGCCUCUGGAAUAUCAAGUCAAUAUCAUUUUUGACUGCCAUUGUGAAUCAGACCUCAGUUGUCAUGGACUCUAGCGAGCACUCAAUGGAGUGUCUGACCAACUGAGGCCUGAUUGACGAUGUCAGUCAGUAGAUGGCCUAACUUACAGUCUCGUCAUGGGCAUGUUUCUUAGUAGUCACAUUUGUUUUUUGAAAAAGAAUUUUGUGUUUGCCAACUGACAUCACCACUUUCCAAAUUUCCAACACACCCCACUGUCUUUUCCAGAAGCAUCUCCUAUGCUUCAUUUAGGGACCAAUGAUGUGAUUUUCUAAUGUCACCAUGUGAAAAGACCUGCACCACCAGCACCCUGCAUGAUAUGAUGCUUACCAUGUUUUUUGUGUUCUUCUCUUGUUGCAGGACCCCGUGACAGCCCCAAAUGAC